GAGCAAUCGAAGCAGUGAACUUAAGCCCCAGUAAACGGCGGCCGUAACUAUAACGGUCCUAAGGUAGCGAAAUUCCUUGUCGGGUAAGUUCCGACCCGCACGAAAGGCGUAACGAUUUGGGCACUGUCUCAACAACAGACUCGGUGAAAUUGUAAUUCCGGUGAAGAUGCCGGAUACCUGCGACAGGACGGAAAGACCCCAUGGAGCUUUACUGUAGCUUGACAUUGGGUCUUGGUACUACAUGUACAGGAUAGGUGGGAGGCUUUGAAACCAGGACGCCAGUUUUGGCGGAGCCAUCCUUGGGAUACCACCCUUGUAGUACUGGGACUCUAACCAUAGGCCAUGAAUCUGGUCUUGGGACACUGUCAGGUGGGCAGUUUGACUGGGGCGGUCGCCUCCCAAAAGGUAACGGAGGCGCUCAAAGGUUCUCUCAGUACGGUCGGAAAUCGUACGUAGAGUGUAAAGGCAAAAGAGAGCUUGAUUGCAAGACAUACAGGUCGAGCAAGGAUGAAAAUCGGACUUAGUGAUCCGGUGGUUCUGCGUGGAAGGGCCAUCGCUCAACGGAUAAAAGCUACCCUGGGGAUAACAGGCUUAUCUCCCCCAAGAGUCCACAUCGACGGGGAGGUUUGGCACCUCGAUGUCGGCUCAUCACAUCCUGGGGCUGUAGUAGGUCCCAAGGGUUGGGCUGUUCGCCCAUUAAAGUGGUACGCGAGCUGGGUUCAGAACGUCGUGAGACAGUUCGGUCCCUAUCCGUCGCAGGCGUAGGAAAUUUGAGAAGACCUGUCCUUAGUACGAGAGGACCGGGAUGGACGUACCUCUGGUGUACCAGUUGUCCUGCCAAGGGCAUGGCUGGGUAGCUAUGUACGGAAUGGAUAAGCGCUGAAAGCAUCUAAGCGCGAAGCCAACUUCAAGAUAAGAUUUCCCACCGCAAGGGUAAGACCCCAGAAAGACUAUCUGGUUGAUAGGUCGAAGGUGUAAGUGCAGCAAUGUAUUUAGCUUAUCGAUACUAAUAGGUCGAGGACUUGACCAA
rnacentral:rRNA from 1 species